UUUUUUCAUUAAUGAUUAUCGUCCUUGGUAGAGAAUAAACUCAGACCAGCUUCGAAUUAUUGAAAUUUAGUUCAGUUUUACACAGAAAGUGUAAUAGGUGUUUGGGGUUUUCAGUGCGGUAGUCAGUCCCCGAGUUUUUUAGGCUCUGGGACUAAACUCCCGACACUAAAGGUUGUUUCCUUGGGACGCAAAAGUCAGACUUGGGGAGGUUUUUAAAGUCCCCCCGCAUCCUUCUCUUGUUUUUUGCUUCGAGUCAGCGUGUCGCCGGGAUGUGAGUCGCCGACGGCAGCUGGGUCUCUCAGCGAAAAGAGGUGUGGUAAUGAUCCUUCCGCAGGUUCACCUACGGAAA
rnacentral:misc_RNA from 1 species